AGGAGCCCUGUCCCCAAGACCCCACCUGUCUCUAGCAGUCCAGGGAACUACAAGGUCCGAAAAGGUGUUUCCUUUCAAUGGAGCAGCCUGGAAUGGGGCCAGUGGAGGAUUUGGGAGAGAGGUCACCUUUGUGAUCAGCAGAAGGGAGAUGGCACUGGACUCUGAUACAAAAUCCACUCGGGGACCGAGGCCUGUCUGCAGCCCAUUCUGGUUCCCUUAGGAAGCAGGAUUCUUGGAUAGAAUCCAUUUCUACCUCCAAAUUCUCUCUGUGAACCUGGAACCUGGAGAUCAAAGCUCGUGUGAGUGAGAUACCCAGGAAUGCCAUCAGAAUGCCCAACCACGGAGCA
rnacentral:lncRNA from 1 species